rnacentral:rRNA from 1 species
AGUGAACGCUGGCGGUAGGCCUAACACAUGCAAGUCGAACGGCAGCACAGGAGAGCUUGCUCUCUGGGUGGCGAGUGGCGGACGGGUGAGGAAUACAUCGGAAUCUACUUUUUCGUGGGGGAUAACGUAGGGAAACUUACGCUAAUACCGCAUACGACCUACGGGUGAAAGCAGGGGACCUUCGGGCCUUGCGCGAUUGAAUGAGCCGAUGUCGGAUUAGCUAGUUGGCGGGGUAAAGGCCCACCAAGGCGACGAUCCGUAGCUGGUCUGAGAGGAGGAUCAGCCACACUGGAACUGAGACACGGUCCAGACUCCUACGGGAGGCAGCAGUGGGGAAUAUUGGACAAUGGGCGCAAGCCUGAUCCAGCCAUACCGCGUGGGUGAAGAAGGCCUUCGGGUUGUAAAGCCCUUUUGUUGGGAAAGAAAUCCAGCUGGUUAAUACCCGGUUGGGAUGACGGUACCCAAAGAAUAGCACCGGCUAACUUCGUGCCAGCCGCCGCCGUAA